UACGAAGGGGGCUAGCGUUGUUCGGAUUUACUGGGCGUAAAGCGCGUGUAGGCGGAUUUGUAAGUUGGGGGUGAAAUCCCGAGGCUCAACCUCGGAACUGCCUCCAAAACUACAAAUCUGGACUCAAGUAGAGGCAAGUGGAAUUGCGAGUGUAGAGGUGAAAUUCGUAGAUAUUCGCAGGAACACCAGUGGCGAAGGCGACUUGCUGGACUUGUAGUGACGCUGAGACGCGAAAGCGUGGGGAGCUAACAGG
rnacentral:rRNA from 1 species